CCUACGGGAGGCAGCAGUGGGGAAUAUUGGACAAUGGGGGCAACCCUGAUCCAGCAAUGCCGCGUGUGUGAAGAAGGCCUGCGGGUUGUAAAGCACUUUCGUUGGGGAGGAUGGUGAGCGAUGCUAAUAGUAUCGUUCAUUGACGUUACCUGAAGAAGAAGCACCGGCUAACUCUGUGCCAGCAGCCGCGGUAAUACAGAGGGUGCAAGCGUUAAUCGGACUGACUGGGCGUAAAGGGCGUGUAGGUGGUUGAUUAAGUCAGAUGUGAAAUGGCAGGGCUUAACCUUGUCAGGUCAUUUGAUACUGGUCGACUAGAGUUCAGGAGAGGGAAGUGGAAUUUCCGGUGUAGCGGUGAAAUGCGUAGAUAUCGGAAGGAACAUCAGUGGCGAAGGCGACUUCCUGGUCUGAAACUGACACUGAGGCGCGAAAGCGUGGGUAGCGAACAGGAUUAGAUACCCGAGUAGUC
rnacentral:rRNA from 1 species